rnacentral:rRNA from 1 species
GACGAACGCUGGCGGCGUGCCUAAUACAUGCAAGUCGAACGCAGUGGGGACGGGUGAGUAACACGUGGGUAACCUCCCAUCAGAGGGGAUAACACUUGGAAACAGGUGCUAAACCGCUACUGAUGGAUGAACCCGCGGUGCAUUAGCUAGUUGGUGAGGUAACGGCGCACCAAGGCCACGAGGCAUAGCCGACCGGAGAGGUUGAUCGGCCAAACGGGGACGUAGACACGGCCCAGACGCCUACGGGAGGAAGCAGUAGGGAAGCUUGGGCAAUGGACGAAAGUCGGACCGAGCAACGCCGCGUGAGUGAAGAAGGUUUUCGGAUCGUAAAACUCUGUUGUUAGAGAAGCGGUAUCUAACCAGAAAGCCACGGCUAACUACGUGCCAGCAGCCGCGGUAAUAC